rnacentral:lncRNA from 1 species
UAAUAUACCGGAGGGGGGAUCGAUCACGGAGAGCAUCUACAUCAACGCCAUUGCCUCUCCGAUGAUGCGUGAGUAGUUCACCAUAGACCUACAGGUCCAUAGCUAGUAGUUAGAUGACUUCUUCUCUCUAUUUGUUCUUCAGUACCAUGUUCUUCAUGCUCUUCAUUGAGAUCUAUCCGAUGUAAUACUCCUUUGUGGUGUAUUUAU